CGGCAAUGAUUUGAAUGAUUUAUCCGCGCUUCUGAGAGUAAUCAAUGAAGUAAAGGAUUUAAAAUGGUUGAAUUUCUUAAUAUGAGCCG
rfam:Helianthus annuus linkage group 17, whole genome shotgun sequence.